UUGUACCCUGUUGUCAUUGAUAAAUAUGGAGACCUGAGAAUUGAGAUUGGUAAGAUGUGGCAGCUACAAGAGUUAAACAUAAUGGUUAUCUCUAUUGUCAUUGGAGCAUUGAGUUCAAUAUCACCCAAUUUGCAAAAACAUCUGAAGACUUUAGAAAUACCCUACAAUCUAGGUGUAUUACAAAAGUCGGCAUUACUUGGAACUGCACACAUAUUGCAUAAAGUACUGUCU